UACAGAGGGGGCAAGCGUUAUUCGGAAUUAUUGGGCGUAAAGGGCGCGUAGGCGGCUUGGCAAGUGGAUGGUGAAAUCCCUCGGCUUAACCGAGGAACUGCCGUCCAAACUGCUUAGCUUGAGACCGGGAGAGGUGAGUGGAAUUCCCAGUGUAGCGGUGAAAUGCGUAGAUAUUGGGAGGAACACCAGUGGCGAAGGCGGCUCACUGGACCGGUACUGACGCUGAGGCACGAAAGCGUGGGGAGCAAACAGG
rnacentral:rRNA from 1 species